GACGAACGCUGGCGGCGUGCUUAACACAUGCAAGUCGAGCGAGGCCCUCCUUCGGGAGGUGUCCUAGCGGCGAACGGGUGAGUAACACGUGGGCAACCUGCCCUCAGCUCUGGGAUAACUCCAAGAAAUUGGGGCUAAUACCGGAUAUGACCGCUGACCGCAUGGUCUGGUGGUGGAAAGAUUUAUCGGCUGGGGAUGGGCCCGCGGCCUAUCAGCUUGUUGGUGGGGUAGUGGCCUACCAAGGCGACGACGGGUAGCCGGCCUGAGAGGGUGACCGGCCACACUGGGACUGAGACACGGCCCAGACGCCUACGGGAGGCAGCAGUGGGGAAUAUUGCGCAAUGGGCGGAAGCCUGACGCAGCGACGCCGCGGGGGGGAUGACGGCCUUCGGGUUGUAAACCUCUUUCAGCAGGGACGAAGCGAAAGUGACGGUACCUGCAGAAGAAGCACCGGCCAACUACGUGCCAGCCGCCGCAGUAACAC
rnacentral:rRNA from 1 species